CCCGCCGGCGACUCCCCCAUAUGGUACGAGUUUGUUACCCCCUUCCGUGGGGAAAGAAUAUUUGGAUGAUACAAGGGCUUAUAUUUUUCUGUUUGUACAUGCUCUUAUUGGGAUGAUACGUGAUGAUGAAUAUUGGGUGUAACAAACUGAAUCCUAGAAUUAUUGGAUGCAUAUAUUCCUUCAUACUUUAGUGGUGAAUAGAUAGAAUUCACAAAUGUUUUCAUGGAUAGUUGGAUUCGAUUUUUCAUAUUCCUCCGUACACAGGCUGGGCGGUUUGAGUACAUGGAAACAUAAUUAUAUCCUACAAACCCUUAUUUGGGUUGCUUUCAUCUUUAUGUUGUUGAGUAAAGAAUCAAGAAAUCAUAUAAGGUACCUUGUAUCAUCUAUGUUUCCCCAUAGUGUAUUUUGUUUGUUUGCUUUGGCUAUUGUUGCUGCCAUCUCAAGAGCGACUGAAAAUUGCCAACAUCAGCAUCUUAGUCAAAACAGUUUAGUUAUUAUACUAUACAUAUGAAGCUUAGUGUUUCAUAUGUAGGAUCAAGAUACUCCAAUUUCUGCAUGAGUUCUCCUUGGUACCAAUUUCCAUAUGUGCAGGGUCGGAGCUUUUGGUCUGUUUGCAACUAGAAUUUGAGACACUGGUACAGAGUACGUGUUGGGAAUAUAUACUAAAGAUGCCGAGUCCCGGGCUUCCCCGAACUUGGCUCUCCAGGCUGCAAUCGAUGGAGGCCGGUCUUGCUUAUCUCCCCUCAUGGCCGAUCAAGGAGGCGAACAGUGUCAAUCUGUCAUCGACACCUCAGGGUCUAAAAAACAAGCACCGGGUCCUUCUCCUCCAUGAAUCAGAUGUCAACGAGGCAACACGAAUCUGCAUGAGGCUGAACAUGAAAGAAACAAAAUGGAGACAACUCGACGAGUUUAGGAACAACAUGUAAUCGACGAUGAGCACUUUUCCAGUCAGGGAAAGGAUUUUUUAUGCCGCGCUAGGACUUUUCGUGGGAGGCCAUCUGAAACACGGUAUAAUGCAAAGGCAUUAGAAUUUCU